UGCUGAUCUAAGUCACUUUGGAAAUAAAUGAAGUCUAUACAACUAAAGGCAAAAUAAAUAGUACAUAAGUACCAGGACCUCUGCCAAGAGACAGCGACACAAUGGUGAACCAGGAAAUGGCAUAUCCCCUGUCCUCAGGGAACCAGAUGAGUAGAGAAGACAAAAUUUACUAAAAUAAUCAAUCAUUUGAGUAAAUGUAGAAUUUCAAGGGUAGUUAGAGUUACAAAGGAGAGGUACACGCUACCAUGAGAACACAAAAGGGGCAUUUGUGUCCAUCAGAGAAGCUAAGAAACAUGUCCCAGAGCCAAUAUUAAAACCACAGUGGUAACAUAUACACCACUGUGAGAGUGUAGGGAAAUACUUGAGCUCUUCACCAAAUAUAACGGCAGCAUUUGAGAUUUCUUAGCUUCAUUUUGUUUGUUGCAGUUAGCCCAGAUUGACUGUUGUGCAAACAACUUCCAUUUGGUUUAGUUUUUGAUAACUCGUUUUAUGAUAGGCAGCUGCUUCUUAUUUGAAGUGAGAGAUGAGGUAAGAAAGAAUUCAAAAGAUUUGAAGGCUACCUGACAGGGUUGCUUCAUGAUAACAAACAGCCAUUCUCAAUGUUUGAAGUGGAAGGCAUUACUUCCUCAGGGUCUUUCGGGUUUUCUCUGUUUUUUGUUUUUUUCAACUGUGUGCUGCGCCCCCCACCACAAUUCCAAUGAUUUCCCCCAUAGAUAAGAAAUAAUUGCUUGUUUCUUGAAGAAUUUUUUAAAAAGGGCUAUCCUAAGGCUGCGUUUCUCAUAUUUGGUAUG
rnacentral:lncRNA from 1 species